CACUAUGACGCUUACAUCCUGUUUCUCGUUCCUUCAGCUGGCUGGACUAUUCACGGGUGGACGUGUUCUUGCCACCCAACUCACAUUAUCACUGAUAUCGAUAGUCACUGAAGAGUUUACACGGAAAAUAGGAUCACACAUUCCCAACCACUGCAAUGGCAUAUGGUGAACGCGAACGUUCUGAUAGACGAGGAGGAGGAGGUGGAGGCGGUGGUGGAGCACGUGGUGGAGGAGGUAGAUUCGGUGGGCGCGAUGGAGGAGGAGGAGGUAAUCGAUUCAGCAGCAGCAACAGAGACAGCAAUUUCGGGAACAAUAAUUUUAAGAACCGGCAGCCAGGAGAACGUCUGCGCAAGCCGCGAUGGGACAUGAGCACCCUACCACAAUUUAGAAAGGACUUUUAUCAACCGCAUACUAAUGUAAUGGCACGGAGUGUUCAUACUGUGGAGGCAUAUCGUUCCAAUAAGGAAAUCACUGUAAAGGGGACUAACGUUCCAGGCCCCAAUAUUUAUUUUGAGGAAGGCGGUUUUCCAGAUUACGUCCUUAACGAGAUCCGUAGACAGGGAUUUGGUGAGCCAACUGCAAUCCAGGCACAGGGCUGGCCGAUUGCUCUGUCCGGUCGCGACAUGGUUGGUAUAGCACAGACGGGCUCAGGAAAAACGCUAGCAUAUAUUCUGCCUGCGAUCGUGCAUAUAAAUCAUCAGCCUAGAUUGAGCCGGAAUGACGGUCCGAUUGCAUUAAUUUUGGCACCCACUCGAGAAUUAGCGCAACAAAUUCAACAAGUGGCGUCGGACUUCGGUAUGUCUUCGCAAGUGCGAAAUACAUGCAUCUUUGGUGGCGCUCCAAAAGGACCGCAAGCACGUGACCUCGAGCGUGGUGUAGAGAUCUGUAUUGCCACGCCUGGACGUCUUAUAGACUUCUUAGAACGCGGUACCACGAAUUUACGUAGAUGUACAUACUUAGUGCUCGACGAAGCCGAUAGAAUGCUGGAUAUGGGUUUUGAACCGCAAAUUAGGAAAAUUGUAGAACAAAUACGACCUGAUCGUCAAACUCUCAUGUGGUCAGCGACGUGGCCGAAGGAAGUGCGUAAUCUCGCGGAGGAGUUUCUAACGGACUACAUACAGAUCAAUAUUGGCUCCCUGCAAUUGGCUGCUAAUCAUAAUAUUCUACAAAUUGUGGACGUAUGUGAGGAAUACGAAAAGGAAAAUAAACUUAUGAAAUUGCUGGAAGAAAUCUCAAAUGAACCAGAAAAUAAGACUAUAAUAUUUGUGGAAACUAAGAGGAAGGUAGAUGAUAUAACAAGAGCUAUCAAUAGAUAUGGAUGGCAGGCAAUUGGCAUUCACGGAGACAAAAGUCAACAAGAAAGAGAUUAUGUAUUAAACCAGUUCCGGAAUAGCAGGUCUGCCAUCCUAGUGGCUACCGACGUGGCGGCGAGAGGUUUAGAGGCACAUGCGACUCUGGAGUUUUAGAACUCUGCAACUAGCUUUGGAAUAUGUAAUUGAACGGGGCGUGACUGCUGGUCGCCGCCCCCUCGCAACAUGCUAAGCAAACGCUGUGCCUCGGCCACCUUUACCACUCGAAAAACACUCUCACUCUGUACCUGCGACGAUCCAAAGAGGGAAUCUUCACAAUAUAUUGCGGCGCGCAAUUCUUGAUGCUAAUUUGAUGGGGGAGUACAUGUAGGGGUUGAGUGAAGAACGCAAGGUGCUCACUUGAUGUUCCAACCUCUUCACCGAAGCAAUGUACAAGGACCAAAUUUCGAAAUAGCGAGCACAGAUCCAUACUUUGGUGCGGGAGAGAAGGGUGUAAUGUUGACUAAGAAUAAAAAUGUAGAGCUCGCUAAUACGUGAAGCGAGAAUUCCAAUGAGAACCAUCUGAGCUCUGAUUCCUCUACAUUUCCAAAAAAUGUAUUUACAUUUCCAGCUUUAAUCGAAAA
rnacentral:misc_RNA from 1 species